rnacentral:rRNA from 1 species
UACAGAGGGGGCAAGCGUUGUUCGGAAUUACUGGGCGUAAAGGGCGCGUAGGCGGCCUGUUAAGUCGAACGUGAAAUCCCCGGGCUCAACCCGGGAACUGCGUCCGAUACUGGCAGGCUUGAAUCCGGGAGAGGGAUGCGGAAUUCCAGGUGUAGCGGUGAAAUGCGUAGAGAUCAGCAGGAAUACCCGUGGCGAAGGCGGCCCCCUGGGCCCUACCUGACGCUGAGGCGCGAAGGCUAGGGGAGCGAACGGG